rnacentral:lncRNA from 1 species
AUUUCCAAUACAGUUACUAUGUGCAUCUGUGCAAUUGUUCAUCUCACAAUAACCAAUCAUAUAAGCCGACCAAGCUGCAAUUAUAUAAGCUGACAAGGCUUCAAACAUUUUCAAUCUCUUUAAUAACAAGUUAGGGCAAGCCAUUGCUUAUCUGAGAAGUGGAAUUUUGACGAUAAUUGUGGAAUUACACCGUUGAGAAUGAUCUCGUCACAACUCACGAGCCUGAAACAAAAAUUUAUAUAAAAUAAUAUAUGAUGUCUAAGAUUGCCAAGACUAAGAUCUAGUGAUAAGGGAAUUAAGAAUAUUUAAGAGCAGCAAACCUUCAAUUUUUGAGAUCUGUCACCUCUCACUUUCUUUUUGCUCAUUAUAUUCUUGAACCAAACUCUAGAGCCCAUUAUCGAUGCUUAAUAUAGCUCACUGUGUAACGAUCCGGACCUCUCGCCCAAGCCGUUAGCUUACGUACUGUCUGCUUUGGAUGGACCUUACACCCACUUACCUCUCACGGCUUUCUAUCGCGUUCCUCAGGAUUCGAACUCUUGACCUCUACAUAAGAGAGACUUAAGUUGAAUCGUGGUACCAAUUGGGGCGAGCUGCUAGCUUAGGUAUUGUCCGCUUUGCGUGGGCCUUGCACCCACUUACACCUCACGGCUUUCUAUCGCGUUCCCUAGGAUUUGAACUCUUGACCUCUAUAUAAGAGAGAUUUAAGUUGAAUCGUGGUAACAAUUGGGCGUUUCAUAAGAGAUCCUGGUCCUUUAUUUAUAGUUCUUGCAUUAACUAGUCUGGAAUUAGGUGUAGCUAUAUCACAAGCUCAUGUUUCUACGAUCUCAAUCUGUAUUUACUUGAAUGAUGCUACAAAUCUCCAUCAAAGUGCUUAUUUAUUUAUAAUUGAACAAAAGCAAUGAUAGUUGUAGACUACUGAGUUUACGAGGUGAAGGAGCGAGAACUUCCCCCAGAUCAAAAAACAAAUCUUCCUCAAAGUCUAUCUUGUCUUUACCACGAGUCAUUUUGGCGCCAAUUGGUACCGCGAUUCAACUUAAGUCUCUCUUAUGUAGAGGUUAACAGUUUGAAUCCUAGGGAACGUGAUAGAAAGCCGUGGGGUAAGUGGGCGUAAGGCCCACCCAAAGCGGACAGUACGUAAGCUAACGGCUGGGCGAAAGGUCCGGAUCGUUACAAAAACUUGCCCAAUUGGUAUCGGGAUUUAAGUCUCUUAUGUAGAGGUCAGAAGUUCGAAUCCUAGGGGACGCGAAGAAAAGUCGUGAGGGAUAAGUGAGCGCAAGGCCCACCCAAAGCGGACAGUACGUAAGCUAAUGGCUUAGGUGAGCAGGUCGUUACAAAAAAAUGCGCUUUUUUUUGUAACGAUCCGGACCUCUCGUCCAAUUGGUCCAAUUGGUACCACGAUUCAACUUAAGUCUACCUUAUGUAGAGAUCAAGAGUUCGAAUCUUGGGAAAUGCGAUAGAAAGUCGUGGGGGGUAAGUGGGCGCACGACUCACCCAAAGCGGACAGUACGUAAGCUAACGGUUUGGACGAGAGUUCCGGGUCGUUACACAUUGGAAUACCCUGCAGAUGAUGUAAAAGUCUCGAGUAAAAAUGGGAUCACUAUUGAAUUAUUGAUUUAGUCAAAUGCUUAAUUUGCAAGUGUCUUGUGAAAUUGUUACCAUCAUAUUCCAGUCUACAGACAAUAAUAAUUUGCACUCUUCAACUAAAUUUAUGAUAAUAGCUUUACACAAAAGCCAAAAGAAGAACGAUUCAAUUUCACCUUUUACUCCGAACACAAUUGAAUCAAUUACAAUACAUAAAGCCUAUACAAUUUAUAUUUUGAAGUAAAUGAAUAGAAUUCAAUCUUAUGAAUUGAAAUGUAAUUUUAAAUCAUAAUAACUCAAUGAAAACUAGUAUGUAAAACUGAAAAUGUGCGACUUGCAGUUGCUGGAGAGUUAUUUCGCAGUUGCUCUUCCAUGUGGAUAAGUUUAUGGUUUCGAUGUUAGCAAAGUGAAGGGGCAAGUCAGCUUGAAAAAUCUCAUGUCAUGGUUGUUUUCUUUUGGAUUAUCAGAUUUAAUAACUAGCUUGAGUUACAACUUCUGAAGAUGUGGAGAAGUAAAGAAAAGUUCAUGCUGAGAUCAUCCAUCAAAAUCAGCAAACAAUAUUGGCCACAAUCUCUAGAAAACACUAUACAGCCCUACAUGGAACUAACAAAAAUCUAUUCUCGAAAACUACUUUGGGCUCUAAUCACUAAUCAGUAAACUAAACACUACAUAAAUCCACAGACCUACUGACCUAACAUUCCAUAAAAAUAAUAUUGGACACUGAUCCACAUAAGCUGAAAAAAUAAAUAAAUAAUAAUAAAUAAAAAAGGACAGUUUAACACCUAAAAAAUUGUAGCUGAUACAUUUCAAACCUUUUAAUAAAUAAAUAUGCGUUCGAAGGACCUCUAGAUGAUUUCUAUCCAAAAUGACUGUUAAGUGACCAAGAAUCAACCGUUUCAUCAUUUUUAAAAUGAACAGACUUAUAUUUUUCUACAUAAAACAAUUAAAUUGAUUAAGUCGUUGAUGAUUUAAAUAAGCAUCUGAUUUCUAGUAUAUUUUUUUUAAUUAAAAUUGAUAGAAUGUACGAUUAAAAAGUUGUGAAUCCAUAAAAUAUACGGUUAAUUGUUUACUAAUUUUAAUCAAUUAUGUUUAGGCUUUAGCUGAACAAAACAUGGAAUAAAUAAAAAGAAAUAAAAAAUGAGGAGAAAAAGAGAGAGAUAGAUAUUAAUUCCUCGUCCACUUCCCACCCCCGCACUCCCAACCAACACCCACCACACCCACUCAGAUAUAAUGGUAUCUAACAAGAUUCAAUGCUCCUUAUCUCUAAUUAAUUUGUAAAGAAAUAGAACAAAAAAGAAAAUUUUCAACAACUCACAAACCCACAUAAGCUGAAAAAAUAAAUAAAUAAUAAUAAAUAAAAAAUUCUAUUCUAGAAAAACGCAUUUGUAAUAAUCAGUUGGGAACUCUAGACAAACCUAGAUAAAUUCAAUGAUAUUCUAUUCUAGAAAACAGUAGGCAAAAAGGAUUUCAUAACUACAAGAUUGGUAAUGUCUUCAAGUGCUCCAACGAAGUAAAUAAUAUAAAAAAUUUAGAAACCGGUGGUCGGAGCUAAAGGAGGCGACUGACCUGAAGAAGACGACACUUAGGCGAGUGGCGAUAACUGUCGGAUUGUGGACUGAUGAGCAGAGCAAAUUUUGGGAAUUUUGGAAAUUUUGAUUGAAUUUUGGGAAUUUUUGGUUAAUUGGAUUGGAUAGUGGAUAUUAGAUAUAUAAAUUGGGUUGGGUAAAUAGAUUUGAAAGGUAAAUGGAUUGUCGGCUCGUUGGAUAAUUGGUUUUGGUUUUUUGGGCUGGUUGGCCUUGUUUUUAAGAGGGGAAAAAAUUAUUCGGCCAAAAUUAGGCCUUUUCGGCCGGCUGGAUAAUUGGUUUUGGCUUGGGCCGGCUGGUGUUGUUCUUAAGAAGGGAAAUAUAUAUA